rnacentral:misc_RNA from 1 species
AUGAAUUUUAGGUUGUCCUCUUCAUCAGAGGGAACCGACCCUUCAUUUCCAACCCUGUGCACUAUAUCUGGGAACUUGCGCAAGCGAGAACCCGUCCAUUUAACAUACUCUAAGUAAUUGAAUGUAACAAAUACAAAACAAAA